GGCCGGGUAGUAUAGUGGUCAUACACUCCGGAAUGUGCAACUCUCUUUCAGAGCUCCUUGUUCAAAUCAAGGCCAGGUCA